AGGGACUCGAACCUCACAUACAUCCUGAGAGCUGAUCAUGAGUUCUACUGCACCAGCACCACUCCCAUUAACCAUAAGCUCCACUUUAAGCAUGAAGAAAGCUCCAGCCACAUCAAUUCAGUCCUGGACAUGAGCUAUGGUAAACACUGGGAUGAGAUGAACAACAAACACACACUCCUCCUGAGCCAGUCCUUCAAAAACCAGUCUACGCUAAAUCACACCAACUACAUCUUUGAGUUCAAUCUCCAGAUGCCAACAAAACAUUUAAACUACAGGACUCAUCUUAUGCACUCCCACCUC